rnacentral:rRNA from 1 species
UGACGAACGCUGGCGGCGUGCCUAAUACAUGCAAGUAGAACGCUGAAGAGAGGAGCUUGCUCUUCUUGGAUGAGUUGCGAACGGGUGAGUAACGCGUAGGUAACCUGCCUUGUAGCGGGGGAUAACUAUUGGAAACGAUAGCUAAUACCGCAUAACAAUAGGUGACACAUGUCAUUUAUUUGAAAGGGGCAAUUGCUCCACUACAAGAUGGACCUGCGUUGUAUUAGCUAGUAGGUGAGGUAACGGCUCACCUAGGCGACGAUACAUAGCCGACCUGAGAGGGUGAUCGGCCACACUGGGACUGAGACACGGCCCAGACUCCUACGGGAGGCAGCAGUAGGGAAUCUUCGGCAAUGGGGGCAACCCUGACCGAGCAACGCCGCGUGAGUGAAGAAGGUUUUCGGAUCGUAAAGCUCUGUUGUAAGUCAAGAACGAGUGUGAGAGUGGAAAGUUCACACUGUGACGGUAGCUUACCAGAAAGGGACGGCUAACUACGUGCCAGCAGCCGCGGUAAUACGUAGGUCCCGAGCGUUGUCCGGAUUUAUUGGGCGUAAAGCGAGCGCAGGCGGUUUGAUAAGUCUGAAGUUAAAGGCUGUGGCUCAACCAUAGUUCGCUUUGGAAACUGUCAAACUUGAGUGCAGAAGGGGAGAGUGGAAUUCCAUGUGUAGCGGUGAAAUGCGUAGAUAUAUGGAGGAACACCGGUGGCGAAAGCGGCUCUCUGGUCUGUAACUGACGCUGAGGCUCGAAAGCGUGGGGAGCGAACAGGAUUAGAUACCCUGGUAGUCCACGCCGUAAACGAUGAGUGCUAGGUGUUGGAUCCUUUCCGGGAUUCAGUGCCGCAGCUAACGCAUUAAGCACUCCGCCUGGGGAGUACGACCGCAAGGUUGAAACUCAAAGGAAUUGACGGGGGCCCGCACAAGCGGUGGAGCAUGUGGUUUAAUUCGAAGCAACGCGAAGAACCUUACCAGGUCUUGACAUCCCGAUGCUAUUUCUAGAGAUAGAAAGUUACUUCGGUACAUCGGUGACAGGUGGUGCAUGGUUGUCGUCAGCUCGUGUCGUGAGAUGUUGGGUUAAGUCCCGCAACGAGCGCAACCCCUAUUGUUAGUUGCCAUCAUUCAGUUGGGCACUCUAGCGAGACUGCCGGUAAUAAACCGGAGGAAGGUGGGGAUGACGUCAAAUCAUCAUGCCCCUUAUGACCUGGGCUACACACGUGCUACAAUGGUUGGUACAACGAGUUGCGAGUCGGUGACGGCAAGCUAAUCUCUUAAAGCCAAUCUCAGUUCGGAUUGUAGGCUGCAACUCGCCUACAUGAAGUCGGAAUCGCUAGUAAUCGCGGAUCAGCACGCCGCGGUGAAUACGUUCCCGGGCCUUGUACACACCGCCCGUCACACCACGAGAGUUUGUAACACCCGAAGUCGGUGAGGUAACCUUUUGGAGCCAGCCGCCUAAGGUG